GGGGACUGCCGGACAGUUCGCGAGGUUUUGGCCCUCUCAAAAGCCAAUUCCCUGGGGCUAAUAUUUCUAUCGGAAACAAGACAAGCCUCAAGUAAUAUGGAGAGACUUAAGUGGGGAUUACACUUGAAGGGUUUUGUGGGUGUAUCUAGUGAUGGUCUAAGUGGGGGUCUCGCUCUUUACUGGGAUGAGAAUCUUCAGGUGACAGUU
rnacentral:rRNA from 1 species